rnacentral:lncRNA from 1 species
UCUUCUUUGUAGAGGAUGGGGCCACAAGGAAGAAAUGGAGAUUUGGAAUGGAAGGAGAAGAUUAUGAAACCGAUGCUGGCUUGGCGAGAGGCAUUAGGAGAACAUGAUUGGAGACAAGUGGAAGAAAAGAAUCGAGGAAAAGAGGAUGGGACCAUAAAGGGAAGGGAGUUUUCUUUCUUUCUUUUCUUUUUCUAUUGGGAUUUUGGAGCUGAGAAAAAGAGAGAUAGGAGAUGAGAGAUCUGAGGAUGAGGUA